UAAAAUGACCGAAGUGUGACUUUUAAAAUGUAAAAUAAAGUCGUACAAUUCUUUUGUUUUCUAGUUGAUAUAAAUAAGUGUGCAUGAGAAGUAGAAUGGCAUUAUUCUCUCCAAAACGCAAGUAAUUUUUUCAAGUUUUAACUUGUUAAUUAUCAAUGCAAUCGCAUAGAAAAUCGAAUUCUCUUAUGUGUUAUUCAAGAAUAUUUAAGGAAAAACUUGCACCUACUUAUUCCCUCGCAGUAGCUAUUGGGUUUCGUAUGUCCAGAAUACUCGAACAAAGCCAUGUCAGACUUCGCAGUGGUAGAAUUCGUCCUAAGGUAGGAAACUCACGUCUUGGGCACCGACUGAUAAAUUGCUUUUUCCAAGAAAGAACCCUUGAGUCAGGUGUAUAGGACUGAAAACUUUGCUUUAAAAGAAAUCACGGGUGGUUACCAACAAGUUAGUGGAAGAAGGAAUUCUUUUAGAUACACUUUGGUGGAGUCAUAGAAUUCCAGUGGUUCUCUGGCCGAGGAGAAGGUUCGAAGUUCUCGGAUAAAACAUCAUUUUCUGUUGUUCCGUAGGAGGGCGCCCCAGUAUUGGAGUCUGAUAAGGGAGAGGAUUGUUGAAUUUGGAAGGGUUGAAGUUGCGGAAUAAAUGAACUCUGUUGAUUAUGAGGUUGAACUGUGUUCAUCAUGCCAAAACUAAGAAAGGAAUGAUAUUCAUUAGGAUUAGCAAAAUUACGACUGUCGUUUGUUGGAGUUAGAGGAACAUUUACCAUCAUGCCUCCAGGUGGAGAUGUCGACGCCGCAGAAGAUGGAACAGUGACAGAGUUUGAAACUCCACUUUGUAAAAACGAAGGAUAUGUGGACGCAGGUUGACAGAAGUUGGUCUCAUUGAAGUGUAAAGGCCCAGGAAUUGUCCAUUGAUCAAACUGACUACCUGUUGAAAACAUUCCAGAACAAGCCGGCAUGGGAGGAGUUACACUUUCAUACCCACAGGAAGCUGUAACAGAAGAAACUACUGUAAAACUGGAUUUCUUUAAUUUACUUAAGUUGCAAU